rfam:Microcoleus sp. PCC 7113, complete genome.
GGGAGUAUAGCUCAGAGGUAGAGCAGUCCUCUCAUAAGGGACUAGUCGCAGGUUCAAGUCCUGUUACUCCUA